CAGUCGCCACGGUAAUGCGAAGGGUGCAAGCGUUACUCGGAAUUACUGGGCGUAAAGCGUGCGUAGGUGGUGGUUUAAGUCCGUUGUGAAAGCCCUGGGCUCAACCUGGGAAUUGCAGUGGAUACUGGGUCACUAGAGUGUGGUAGAGGAUAGUGGAAUUUCCGGUGUAGCAGUGAAAUGCGUAGAGAUCGGAAGGAACAUCUGUGGCGAAGGCGACUAUCUGGGCCAACACUGACACUGAGGCACGAAAGCGUGGGGAGCAAACAGGAUUAGAUACCCCCGUAGUCCCUGUCUCUUAUAA
rnacentral:rRNA from 1 species